UUAGCUCAGGUUUGUUCAUUUUUAACCAAGUGGACUCCUGCUCACGACGUCUCGGUUCUGUGUUCCGUUGUAAACUGUAGAGAAGUGUCUAGGAACUAUAAAAAGGUUACCUUGCUGUUCAUGUCGACUCUAUUCUCACUAAUCCUGCGUCUCUCUUCCCUUUUCAGCUCCAACAGAUGGAAGACGCUCAGCUGCAGCAACGAGAGGCCAACCUCACGGCCCUGGCCGCCAUCGGGCCUCGCAAGAAGAGACCAAUGGAGCAGACGGGAAGCCAGCGCAGCCGGCUGCCUGUUUGCUCUUUCCUCAACAGCCACAGGGCUUCACCUCCGCUGGCACAGCCCACACGCAUGACGGCUACCUAGAGGAGUGAUUGUGUUUGGAGUGAACGCUGUUACUGCACAUACUCAGACAGGAAGUAUUUGUUGAGGCAUCGUCCUUGAAACGAGGAUUGUUUGUCUCCAUAUUAAUUCAAGGACUUGGUUGACUUUGAUUUGUAGCGUGAAAGCACGAGGGCUGUGCCGAGGUUUCAGUGAAUGUCUAAAGAAAAACAAAAGAGAUGUGUCGCUCACUCUCUCUCUCACUCUCUCAGGUGACCCUGCUGCCCAGACCGAGCAUUCAGAGGGUGACCCGCGUCAUGCUGAGGGAUCUGCUGCUGUGUAUGGAGCAGGACCGCUUCCUGUGCCACUCCCUCCCUCUGUACAGAGCCAUGCUCUGACCACCUCGCUGGGAAUGACCACACCACUACACCGCUCUCAUAUUAAUCUUAAUUAAACAAGCUUUGUUUGUU